UUGAACCUACGGGACGCAGCAGUGGGGAAUAUUGGACAAUGGGGGGAACCCUGAUGCAGCGACGCCGCGUGGGUGAAGAAGCGCCUCGGCGCGUAAAGCCCUGUCAGCAGGGAAGAAAAUGACGGUAUCUGAAGAAGAAGCCCCGGCUAACUACGUGCCAGCAGCCGCGGUAAUACGUAGGGGGCAAGCGUUAUCCGGAUUUACUGGGUGUAAAGGGGGCGCAGACGGCGAUGCAAGCCAGGAGUGAAAGCCCGGGGCCCAACCCCGGGACUGCUCUUGGAACUGCGUGGCUGGAGUGCAGGAGG
rnacentral:rRNA from 1 species